rnacentral:rRNA from 1 species
UACGGGGGGGGCAGGCGUUGUUCGGAAUUACUGGGCGUAAAGGGCUCGUAGGUGGCCAACUAAGUCAGACGUGAAAUCCCUCGGCUUAACCGGGGAACUGCGUCUGAUACUGGAUGGCUUGAGUUUGGGAGAGGGACGCGGAAUUCCAGGUGUAGCGGUGAAAUGCGUAGAUAUCUGGAGGAACACCGGUGGCGAAGGCGGCGUCCUGGACCAAUACUGACACUGAGUGAGCGAAAGCCAGGGGAGCAAACGGG